rfam:Alligator mississippiensis ScZkoYb_11, whole genome shotgun sequence.
UCCUCGUUAGUAUAGUGGUGAGUAUCCCCGCCUGUCACGCGGGAGACCAGGGUUCGAUUCCCUGACGAGAAG